rnacentral:rRNA from 1 species
UACGAAGGGGGCUAGUGUUGCUCGGAAUCACUGGGCGUAAAGCGCACGUAGGCGGAUUGCUAAGUCAGGGGUGAAAUCCUGGAGCUCAACUCCAGAACUGCCUUUGAUACUGGCAACCUUGAGUCCGGGAGAGGUGAGUGGAACUGCGAGUGUAGAGGUGAAAUUCGUAGAUAUUCGCAAGAACACCAGUGGCGAAGGCGGCUCACUGGCCCGGUACUGACGCUGAGGUGCGAAAGCGUGGGGAGCAAACAGG